CAACAACAGUACUCCAGGAACUGCUUGUUUUUGCGAGUGUGAAAGCUGUCAUUGGAUUCCAUUUAUUUUUCAAACCAGACCAUAUGCCAUCCAAUGAACCAAUUUGUUCUCUUGACUUAAUUUAUUUUAUAAUAUGACCUUCCAUCCAUUUUGUCCGUGCAUUGUGUCAGGAGUGGACAGCACUGUUCCUGUGUGUGUGAGUGUUUUAAAUAGAGAAUAAAGCUGCAAGCCACAAACAGCUGUUAUUAAGCCCCUGCCUCCUGCUGAUUUGACAGAGAAUUGGUCUAUGAACUCAAUCUACGAACAAUCUACGAACACUCCCUGUCUGAAUUGACUUUGAUUUUGAAAAGUCGCCCUAUGUUGUUGUUAUUUAGCCUCCCCUUUGCUCUUGUUUAUGUAACCAGGGUUUGAAAAUGCGUUACUGUUCAAUAAGUCGUAACAUUGUUCCUGUUUAACCAAGAAAAGAGUUCAUCUUUUCCUUAAUAGUCAAUCUUUGUCAUUCCAUGCACAGAGAUUUAUUUAAGUGAUCAUCUGUCUCUAUAUAGACGAUCUUUGUUUUCUCCGCCGACUGUUUUACUGAAGUAAGUUAAGAGAGCAGAAAACCUAUGAUUCAUCGAAAAAUUUGAAUAUUGAAGCAUGAGCCAUUCAAAAUCGCGAGUUUCGAGGAGGAGGAUCAAACCUUUGAACAUUUAAUAUUCUGGUUGUUUUUUUUGGAUAGCUCCAUGACUGGAACCAGAAGUACUGUCCGGUCUGCCACCACAUCUUCAUCCAUCCACCACCAAGAGGACCCUCACAUCGGACGUCACAGUGCGCCUGGAGUCCCUUUGACUUGACUUUGGUUGUGCACAGAAGGGUGGUGCUGAGGGCCUUACUGGUGAACCCUUUUUGGUGAUGGUGUCCCCUCGUGUGUAGUGUCUUAUUCACUCCCUUUUUGCUUUACUCUUGUGUGUGCUUGGAGUGUUAAGUUUAUACCUUCACCCCUCCCCCUCACUCACCUUAAGCACGAAGGUCCCGGCCCUGGAAAA
ensembl:lncRNA